UGGGUCGGGUUAUUUAGCCAACCAAAAUGGCAGUACAGGCUCCGACCGAGGACUGAGGAAGCUUAGGAUGACUAAUAAGAAUGGUUGCGGCGAGUGUUUUGUUGUGGAAGUAUUAGAAGAAUGUGUAAGAAACAUACGGUGUUGAUGAUGCAAUUUCCUGGAUGGUGUGUAAACUGUUUAUCAGCAUGUGAAAUCCACAUGAUUGAAGGAGAAGUCUCCCUUGUUAAAGAUCAGCAACGGCAGAUAAACAAUGCAUGAUGCAAUCUACUCACUAAAAAGAUUACACCAAUACAUCCAAUGCAUGUAUUUCUACCUAUCACCUAUGUAACCUUUGUCAUGCUCUUCAGAGAGUCAUCGACAGGAAAAGGAAUUACCGGUAAGUUGACAGGACUUUCCACACUGUUUCUGGUAGCAGCUUAUGAUUGAAUUGAUGGUAGAAGACAUGGCCCACUUAAUCAAAGGUCUACUGCAUGUUGACAGCUGAUACUUGUUCUCUAUUUGCUCCGAGAGGCCUACUACACAUUACCUCAGUUAUGACUGUACUCAUGCUGGCUUCUAUGAUGUUAAUUUCCUUUACCUGCACUGCGUUAAACUUGGUCAAUACUGUUACUGUCGCUCACCAACAGAUGAAAAUAAGAUUUAGCUGAUCCUGCCAACAUUGUGACAUAAGCGGUCCAAUGUCCAAUAUCUCACUCUGCAGUCAAACAUCAUUUUUUUUAUGAACGCUCAGUAAAACAUUGGAAAUGUUAGACAUUUUUAGUAUUGAUUUAUAUAGUUAUAUAUUUUUAAAGUAAUAACAAUUCUUUUUAUUGAUGUAUGUUUAAGUAUGCAAAAAUGAACAUUGAUGAUAUUUAUCUUCUGAAUAAAAUUUUAUAUCGAUAA